rnacentral:rRNA from 1 species
CCCGGGGCGCGCCCCGGNCGGGGCGGGGGCACGGGGGGAACGCGAAGAACCUUACCAAGGCUUGACAUGAACCGGAAACGCCUGGAAACAGGUGCCCCACUUGUGGUCGGUUUACCAGGUGGUGCAUGGUUGUCGUCAGCUCGUGUCGUGAGAUGUUGGGUUAAGUCCCGCAAUCGAGCGCAACCCUCGUUCUAUGUUGCCAGCACGUGAUGGUGGGGACUCAUAGGAGACUGGCCGGGGUCNACUCGGAGGAAGGUGGGGACGACGUCAAAUCAUCAUGCCCCUUAUGUCUUGGGCUUCACGCAUGCUACAAUGGCCGGUACAAAGGGUUGCGAUACCUGUGAGGUGGAGCUAAUCCCAAAAAGCCGGU